rnacentral:rRNA from 1 species
GGCAGCGCGGGAGCUUGCUCCUGGCGGCGAGUGGCGCACGGGUGAGUAAUGCAUCGGAACGUGUCUUCUUGUGGGGGAUAACUGUCCGAAAGGACAGCUAAUACCGCAUAAGACCUGAGGGUGAAAGCAGGGGAUCGCAAGACCUUGCGCAGGAAGAGCGGCCGAUGUCCGAUUAGCUAGUUGGCGGGGUAAAGGCCCACCAAGGCGACGAUCGGUAGCUGGUCUGAGAGGACGACCAGCCACACUGGGACUGAGACACGGCCCAGACUCCUACGGGAGGCAGCAGUGGGGAAUUUUGGACAAUGGGGGCAACCCUGAUCCAGCCAUGCCGCGUGCAGGAUGAAGGUCUUCGGAUUGUAAACUGCUUUUGUCAGGGACGAAAAGGGACGUGAUAACACCACGUUCUGCUGACGGUACCUGAAGAAUAAGCACCGGCUAACUACGUGCCAGC